rnacentral:lncRNA from 1 species
UAUCAGAUUCAGAUCAGUCGCUACAAAGCGCGUAUACUUUCAACAACGCCAUUUACACGAAGGUCCAGACACAAUAGACAAGCUUCUAGACAUACAUUUAGAGAAGAAGGACAAAAAGGUAAAUUCCCUCGACGAUGACGAACAACAGUUAUCGAAUCGAAGAAAACUCACUAGUACUCGAAGAGAAGCACUGAGUCUCUACCGUGAUAUAAUUCGUGCCUCUCGCUAGACAGACAUUUAGAGAAGAAGGCCAGAAUAGUUGAAUAAAUCCGGCCCAUUACUAAAGAGAGAAGAAAAACAAAGGUAAUUUAUUUGUGACACCUAAAGGGUUAGGUUGAAUUGAGGAGUUGAAGUUGAAUGCAAAAUGUCUUUCGGAGAGGCCGUUAAACUCUUAAAUCAGAGAUGGAAGCCAAUUCUCAAAAUGCCUUCUGAACAGAAGCAUUCAAUCGCCAAUGGCCUUUUUGAUAUUAUCAAGAAUCACGGACCCAUCACUGUUUCCAACACUUGGGUUCGUGCCAAGGUACUCUCUUACUUUCUCUCUCUUUUUUUCACUCCACAUCCGAGUCUAGGACGGUAAAUGUACGCAGCUUUAUCCGGAUAAAUGUAGUCAGGUCUAUCCGGAUAAAUAUAGGUAGCUUUUUCCAGAGGAUAGAUGUAGGUAGCUUUAUCUGAUUGGAGUUGGGGAUCAGUCAAUAAGAUAAAUUAACAAUAACAAGUAAGGUCCACAAUAGAUUUGUAGUAAAUUAAGUGUUAGCAGGCACCUGGGUCCACAAUAGAUUUGUUACGGUUUUUGUUAUUACAAGCUUAUUGUUGUUUGUUAUGUUUCACAUUAAUGGUAAUUGUGUCUGUAAAUUAUAAGUUAGUAUUACUAAUUAAUGCCUAUGAAAAAUCAUGUUUACUGUAUUUGCUAUCUUCGUAUAGCAGCCGUCCUACCAUCCACCAUAUUGUUAUAGCUUAUAGCAUUUUUAGGGUCACAGCUGCUCUGCCAUUCGAGAUUCACUGCAUAGCUAUAAAGAUACUUUGGUGUCAAAAUAAGUUGAAAAGAGAUAGGUCCAAGGUAAAAUUGUACUUAGACCAUACACACGUGCAUAGACGACACAUGACUCGGCACGAGGUAGAUGUUUGUGUGUAUUCAUUCUCGCAUGAAACAUCUACCUCUAUGCCAUAAAGUAGAUACCUGGACAUAGUCCAUAUUAUAAACACUUGUGAAGAAUCUAUUUUACUCAAUGUGAAACUUCAGCCUUAUACAAUACUUUAAGUUUGACAAACUUUCAUGAUUUACAUCACAUGAUAUACUGAUAUUGUGACUGAUCAAAAUUAAAUCUUUCAAGUUUUUAAGCUGAGGAAAAAAUUAUUGUUAGAAUACACAAAAGA